CAGAGAGAUGGAGCACACGGUGAUGCAAAACACAAGCAAUUCUGGUCAAAAGCAUCUUGAAUAAAAAGAGCAACAGCCCAACAAAUGUCUAAGAAGUUGGUGUAACCUAAUGCAGUCAACAAGGUUUAAUCAGAUAAGAUCAGAUGUUUCUGAUGUAGGUCCAACAGAAUUAUUGCUGUUGUUGCUGUCAGAUAAAAUGCCAAAAAUAUAAAUAUAAAUUAUGUUAUAAGUAACAGUUUUAUAUUUAAUGUGUAAUAACAUAAAACACUUUUUCCCUAGUGUAAAGAAAAACAAACAGCACAUACAUUUGUCAUUUCUGGUGUUUAAUUCUGGUAAGAGAAAAAUCACUCAGUGUUGGUAAUGUUUAUGUAAACAUCUUUAUAUAUGCAAAUAAUAGUAUCAUGAGAAAACAAAAUUAAAAAAAUUUAAGAAAGCAAUUCAAACCGGAUUUUGGCCUUAUUAAAUUUAAAAGGAAAGUGUGAUGCCUUUUCAUGUAAUCCCAAUAUUCUUCUUGUUUGAGCAUGUAGAUUUGAGUAGUACUGUAGCUCUGUAUGUUUAUGCAAAUCUCCUGUUGCAUAUUUAAAUAGCAGGCAUGAGUCAGUUUAUACAAUCAUCUGAUCACUAGAGGGAAUGAAGAAUCACUUCAGUUCAUUCAAACUGUGCUGUGAAACAAACCAUGAUCUCUUCAUCUUUAGUGUUGCUUCUGGCAGUGGUAUCCUGUAUUGAUUCAUAUGAACUCACUCAGCCUGAGUCUCUGACUGUCCGUCCUGAUGCCACUCUGACUAUCAACUCUAAAGUCUCCUAUUCAGUUACAAGCUACGUUACAGCCUGGGUUGUACCUCAGACUUAAAGGCUUCAGCCACUGGACUAAAUGCCUCAGACUGAAAGGCUUUCAGGAAAAACAACGUCAUGUGUCAGGUCUUGUACAAUAACGCAUCGGAUGAAAUGGCCUCAGACAAAAAGACAUCUUUGAAGACUUUGCUUGCUGUAGUAUAAUUUUGGUCAAAAAGUGGAUACCACUUAAGAGAUACAAUGGAUACCACAGAAUAGAUAUAAUUGCUGAUAAGGUCAUGAUUGAAUUAUUUAUUUGUUGAUGCAUUCUCAUUCUCAUUCUGACUUACCAAAGUAAUUUAUUAGUUUAUUAUUUAUUGAAUUUAUUCAAAAAUUUAAAUAAUAGAAAUUACUAUUAUUAAAGCAACAGACAUAUAUGUCUACUAAAAACAACAACAACACACACACACACACACACACACACACACACACACACACACACACACACACACACACACACACACACACACACACACACACACAUUUAUUGAUGUGUAACCCUCAGGAAACAGCUGCGUUUGGUUAUUGCCUCUUAAAAAAUACUGUAAGUGAAUAUGCAUGUAUAAUUUCGUAAGACUUAUGUCAAUUUUAUAAAGCAUAUAGAAACCACUAAAAUACAUUUCGUUAACAUUUUUUUGCACCAAAAUUACAAUCUGUUGUGUCUUUAGCAAGCAUUUAGAUAAACUUAAUCAGCCACCCUUUACACACACCUUGUUACAUUAGCUAAAAGUCCAAUGACCAUAAAGAUACUAAAUGAUUAGUAAUCGUUUAUAAACAUUUACAAAUGAUAAAUAGUUUCCACUUUAGAUUGGAUACAGCAAAAACAUGAACAAAUAACAAAUAGAUUAUUUGUUAAGAUGUGUAAAUAGAGGUCUACACAACAAACAAAGGCCAACAAAUGAAGAUUAUAUGAACUGAAAGUUUACUGACAUUUGUAAGCAUUUCAAUUUACAUUAAACAAUCAUAUGUUAAUCAUUAGGUAAUGUUUAGUAAGUUCAUUAGUAAAUUAACAAGAAUAUUAUCUCAUAUUUCCAGCUAUGUGAAUAUAUAUUAACUAAUGAUCUGUUAUGCAUUAUAUAAUGUUUGUUAAUGUUAAUAUUAAUGAUUUAUAAAGUGUUAUUAGUAAUUACUAUUGAAGCAACAGACAUAUAUGGAGAAAAGAGAAUGUCUACAAAAAAAACAAAUAAAAAAAAACACACAUUUACUGAUGUGUGACCCUCAGGAAACACCUGCGUUUGGUUAUUGCCUCUUAAAAAAUAAGUGAAUAUGCAUGUAUAGUUUUGCAAGACUUAUGUAAAUUUUAUAAAGCAUAUAGAAACCACUAAAAUACUUUCUGUUAAAGCUAAUAACAUGCUUAUUCAAACAUAAAUAGAAGACAAUGCAAUCAAGAAACUGUUAACGUCUUCUCAGCAAGUGAUAUCAGAAGCAAAUUAUGUGACGCUGAUGAUUGUAAUUUAAUUUAAGAAAAGUUUCUAAUCCAAAUACUGCUAAGCAAACUAAACAUAUGAUAUUAUUAUGACAUUUCAAUAAAACCGAGAUGAUCAUUUGCACCUCACAGUAUCACUUGUAUUUCAGUCCUCACCCUUUCCAUCUUCUUCGACUGUAUGAGGGUCUGUGAUCGUUUUUAUGUUGCCUCCAGAUGGAUAAGAGUUGUGUCUUCCUUUGAUCAGAAUUUUGGGGUUUUGAUUUUUGCCUUUCAAUGUCAAAAGACAGUUCAAAAGAUGAAAAAGAAGUGUCAGGGGAACUUGCUGAGCUGAGGAAAGCCCAGAUAAAUUCUGGGAGAUAACACCAUUAUUGAAGAUUCCACCAGAAUAGAAGCAUAUGAACACAGUUAGAGCAACACUGGUCACAAUCACAGCUGCUGUGUUGGUCCUACAUGCACUUCGGCUGUAGGUCUGAGCUUCCAGCAUGUUCUGAGCUUCCCUCAUUCAUCUUGCUUCUCGCCUUAAAACAAUAGAGAAAAAACUUGGUAAAACUGAGUAAGUUUGAGUAUAGACUAACAUGUUCUAGAAAGAAACGGUUACCACAUUUACCUUUAACGAACAUUUCAAUGCAGCAAACCCCAGAAUCAAACAAUUGCAAAACAUGAUGUUGAACAGAGAGCAGCACAUGUGGUCUUUUCCUUUUAGUUUCACCCUCACAUAGAUGACUUCAGGUGAAACCCCUCCAUUAUAUGACUCUGAGAAAUUGUUAAUUUCAACUGCCACAGAUUCCCUGGCAGAAUCCUGAUGGGAAUCUCAUAUAUGUGUUGACGUUCCAUCAUGUUCAUAAAAAUUAAUCAACAAGGAGUCAUUCAUAAGCUGCUGCUUC
ensembl:lncRNA